rnacentral:rRNA from 1 species
GAUGAACGCUGGCGGCGUGCCUAAUACAUGCAAGUCGAGCGAACAGACGAGGAGCUUGCUCCUCUGACGUUAGCGGCGGACGGGUGAGUAACACGUGGAUAACCUACCUAUAAGACUGGGAUAACUUCGGGAAACCGGAGCUAAUACCGGAUAAUAUAUUGAACCGCAUGGUUCAAUAGAGAAAGACGGUUUUGCUGUCACUUAUAGAUGGAUCCGCGCCGCAUUAGCUAGUUGGUAAGGUAACGGCUUACCAAGGCGACGAUGCGUAGCCGACCUGAGAGGGUGAUCGGCCACACUGGAACUGAGACACGGUCCAGACUCCUACGGGAGGCAGCAGUAGGGAAUCUUCCGCAAUGGGCGAAAGCCUGACGGAGCAACGCCGCGUGAGUGAUGAAGGUCUUCGGAUCGUAAAGCUCUGUUAUUAGGGAAGAACAAAUGUGUAAGUAACUAUGCACGUCUUGACGGUACCUAAUCAGAAAGCCACGGCUAACUACGUG